rnacentral:rRNA from 1 species
UAGUAACGGCGAGUGAAGAGGGAAAAGCUCAAAUUUUGAAUCUGGUGUCUUUGACUCCCGAGUUGUAAUCUAGAGAAGUGUUUUCCGCGUUGGACCGUGUACAAGUUCCCUGGAACGGGGCGUCAUAGAGGGUGAGAAUCCCGUAUAUGCCACGGACUACCAAUGCUCUGUGAUACACUCUCAACGAGUCGAGUUGUUUGGGAAUGCAGCUCAAAAUGGGUGGUAAAUUCCAUCUAAAGCUAAAUAUUGGCGAGAGACCGAUAGCGAACAAGUACCGUGAGGGAAAGAUGAAAAGCACUUUGGAAAGAGAGUGAAACAGUACGUGAAAUUGUUGAAAGGGAAGCGUUUGAAGUCAGUCACGUCUGUCGGAAUUCAGCCUGGCUUCUGCCUGGUGUACUUUCCGUCCGACGGGUCAGCAUCAAUUUCGAUCGAGGGAAAAAGACAUGAGGAAUGUGGCUGUCUUCGGGCAGUGUUAUAGACUCGUGUUGUAUGUCUCGGUUGGGAUUGAGGAACGCAGCGCGCCUAUUGGCCGGGGGUUCGCGCCCCUCGGUACGCGCUUAGGA